rnacentral:rRNA from 1 species
AUGGCUCAGAAUUUCGCUAGCGACAGGCCUAACACAUGCAAGUCGAGGGGCAUCGGGGCGAGGAGCAAUCCUUGCCGCCGGCGACCGGCGCACGGGUGAGUAACGCGUAUGCGACCUGCCCGUUGCAGGGGGAUAAUCGGGAGAAAUCCCGUCUAAUACCGCGUAACGCCGCGGGGCUGCAUGGCCCUGCGGCCAAAGGGAGCGAUUCCGGCAACGGAUGGGCAUGCGUGACAUUAGCUAGUUGGCGGGGCAACGGCCCACCAAGGCGACGAUGUCUAGGGGUUCUGAGAGGAAGGUCCCCCACACUGGUACUGAGACACGGACCAGACUCCUACGGGAGGCAGCAGUGAGGAAUAUUGGUCAAUGGGCGCGAGCCUGAACCAGCCAAGUCGCGUGAGGGAUGACGGCCCUACGGGUUGUAAACCUCUUUUGUCGGGGAGCAAAUUCCGCCACGUGUGGCGGAGUCGAGAGUACCCGAAGAAAAAGCAUCGGCUAACUCCGUGCCAGCAGCCGCGGUAAUACGGAGGAUGCGAGCGUUAUCCGGAUUUAUUGGGUUUAAAGGGUGCGUAGGCGGACUGUCAAGUCAGCGGUAAAAUACGGGGGCUCAACCUCCGCCCGCCGUUGAAACUGACGGUCUUGAGUGGGCGAGAAGUAUGCGGAAUGCGUGGUGUAGCGGUGAAAUGCAUAGAUAUCACGCAGAACUCCGAUUGCGAAGGCAGCAUACCGGCGCCCAACUGACGCUGAAGCACGAAAGCGUGGGUAUCGAACAGGAUUAGAUACCCUGGUAGUCCACGCAGUAAACGAUGAAUACUAGCUGUCCGGGGCGAAUGAGCCCUGGGUGGCACAGCGAAAGCGUUAAGUAUUCCACCUGGGGAGUACGCCGGCAACGGUGAAACUCAAAGGAAUUGACGGGGGCCCGCACAAGCGGAGGAACAUGUGGUUUAAUUCGGUGAUACGCGAGGAACCUUACCCGGGCUCAAACGACACAGGAACGUACCUGAAAGGGUUCGGCUCUACGGAGCCUGUGUCGAGGUGCUGCAUGGUUGUCGUCAGCUCGUGCCGUGAGGUGUCGGCUUAAGUGCCAUAACGAGCGCAACCCCCAUCGACAGUUGCUAACAGGUUAGGCUGAGGACUCUGUCGAGACUGCCGGCGCAAGCUGCGAGGAAGGCGGGGAUGACGUCAAAUCAGCACGGCCCUUACGUCCGGGGCGACACACGUGUUACAAUGGCAGGUACAGCGGGAAGCCACCUGGCGACAGGGAGCGGAACCCGAAAGCCUGUCUCAGUUCGGAUUGGAGUCUGCAACCCGACUCCAUGAAGCUGGAUUCGCUAGUAAUCGCGCAUCAGCCACGGCGCGGUGAAUACGUUCCCGGGCCUUGUACACACCGCCCGUCAAGCCAUGGAAGCCGGGGGUGCCUGAAGUGCGCUGCCGCGAGGAGCGCCCUAGGGUAAAACCGGUGACUGGGGCUAAGUCGUAACAAGGUA